rnacentral:rRNA from 1 species
UUGCCAGACUCCUACGGGAGGCAGCAGUGAGGAAUAUUGGUCAAUGGGCGCGAGCCUGAACCAGCCAAGUAGCGUGAAGGAUGACUGCCCUACGGGUUGUAAACUUCUUUUAUAAAGGAAUAAAGUGAGGCACGUGUGCCUUUUUGUAUGUACUUUAUGAAUAAGGAUCGGCUAACUCCGUGCCAGCAGCCGCGGUAAUACGGAGGAUGCGAGCGUUAUCCGGAUUUAUUGGGUUUAAAGGGUGCGUAGGCGGGCUGUUAAGUCAGCGGUAAAAGCCCGGGGCCCACCCCCGGCGAGCCGUUGAAACUGGCUGUCUUGAGAUGUCGAGAGGUAUGCGGAAUGCGCAGUGUAGCGGUGAAAUGCUUAGAUAUUGCGCAGAACUCCGAUUGCGAAGGCAGCAUACCGGCGGCGAUCUGACGCUGAGGCACGAAAGCGUGGGUAUCGAACAGGAUUAGAUACCCCAGUAU